ACGGGUGAGUAAUACAUCGGAACAUGUCCUGUAGUGGGGGAUAGCCCGGCGAAAGCCGGAUUAAUACCGCAUACGAUCUACGGAUGAAAGCGGGGGACCUUCGGGCCUCGCGCUAUAGGGUUGGCCGAUGGCUGAUUAGCUAGUUGGUGGGGUAAAGGCCUACCAAGGCGACGAUCAGUAGCUGGUCUGAGAGGACGACCAGCCACACUGGGACUGAGACACGGCCCAGACUCCUACGGGAGGCAGCAGUGGGGAAUUUUGGACAAUGGGCGAAAGCCUGAUCCAGCAAUGCCGCGUGUGAAGAAGGCCUUCGGGUUGUAAAGCACUUUUGUCCGGAAAGAAAUCCUUGGUUCUAAUAUAGCCGGGGGAUGACGGUACCGGAAGAAUAAGCACCGGCUAACUACGUGCCAGCAGCCGCGGUAAUACGUAGGGUGCGAGCGUUAAUCGGAAUUACUGGGCGUAAAGCGUGCGCAGGCGGUUUGCUAAGACCGAUGUGAAAUCCCCGGGCUCAACCUGGGAACUGCAUUGGUGACUGGCAGGCUAGAGUAUGGCAGAGGGGGGUAGAAUUCCACGUGUAGCAG
rnacentral:rRNA from 1 species